AUGGCCGCCAACUAUAGCGUGCCGCCUGUUUUCGACGAGAAGAAAUACGACAGCUGGAGAAAUGAGGUGGAGAUAUGGACACACAUGACGGACCUAGAAAAGACCAAGCAGGCGCUAGCCGUGACGCUGUCGCUCAACGGCAGAGCCCGGGACACCGCGCUGGAAAUACCCGCGGAGGAUUUGAAGAAGGAAGAUGGCGUGUCCACCCUUUUAAAAGAGUUGGACUCUGUUUACCUAAAAGAGGAAAAUGAUCGGGCGUAUGACGCAUACACGGAUUUUGAUCGUAUUUAUAGAGAAGAUGGCAAUUCAAUGGCGGAUUACAUUGUGGAUUUCGAACAGAGAUACAACCGGAUACGCAAGUUUGACAUGAUACUUUCAGAUGCCCUUUUGGCUUUCAAGUUAUUGGACACUGCUGGUCUUGAUACGAAUGACAAACAAUUGGCACUUACUGCUUGCACGACACUUACCUUUGCAUCUAUGAAAUCGACCCUCAAACGGAUGGUUGGCGAGAACACAGCAUCCUCAGUGGGAGAGGGAAACCCAGAGGCUGCACACAAGAGGGAAGGCAACAAGUCCCGCUUAGCAAUGAACGACCAGACAGAUGAGCAGGGAGGACUGUCCAGAUGUGGAGCUUUCCAUAACACACUCUUGGCGGGUAAGAACCUGUUCAUCGUACAGAGCCCUGGGCAGCCGGGCAUGGUGCAGCAGGUCCAGCUGGUCCAGCCCAAACAGGAGUCCCAGAUGGUCCAGCAGACCCUGAAGGGGGUUCAGGCCUGCUCGCUUCCCCAGCAAACCCUGAAGAUGGUCCAGGCCUUCUCUCUCCCCCAGCAGGCGCUGAAGGUGGUCCAGGCCUCCUCGGCCUUACUGCCCCAGGUCCCACUGAGGCAGACGCCCUCUCAAACACAGCUAAGCCACAUCCAGAUCGCCCAGCAGGCCCUGAAGGUGGUCCAAGCCGCCUCGGCCACCCUCCCCCAGAUCCCUCAGAGGCAGGCGGCCAUGCCCAUCAUGCCGGUGACUCUGCCUAAACAUCAAACACUGUUCCGGCUCCGAAAGCGCUCCAAGAACCAUCUGGGCGGAGCUCGCAUGAAGCGGAUACUGGCAAAGAUCGCCCUGGUGGGCGGCCCCCCCACGGAGGCCAUGGUCCCCGGCCACACUGUCACAAUCAACGGGGUGCAUGUGCAGGGCGUGCCCGCCGCAGCCCCCAACCCCGGCGGUGAGUGUUGCUGA
rnacentral:lncRNA from 1 species